rnacentral:rRNA from 1 species
GACGAACGCUGGCGGCGUGCUUAACACAUGCAAGUCGAACGAUGAACCCGGAGCUUGCUCUGGGGGAUUAGUGGCGAACGGGUGAGUAACACGUGAGUAACCUGCCCUGGACUCUGGGAUAAGCGUUGGAAACGACGUCUAAUACCGGAUAGGACCUUGGAUCGCAUGAUCUGGGGUGGAAAGUUUUUUCGGUCUGGGAUGGACUCGCGGCCUAUCAGCUUGUUGGUGAGGUAGUGGCUCACCAAGGCGUCGACGGGUAGCCGGCCUGAGAGGGUGACCGGCCACACUGGGAGUGAGACACGGCCCAGACUCCUACGGGAGGCAGCAGUGGGGAAUAGUGCGCAAGGGGCGAAAGCCUGAGGCAGCAACGCGGCGUGCGGGAUGACGGCCUUCGGGUUGUAAACCGCUUUUAGUAGGGAAGAAGGGCUUCGGCUUGACGGUACCUGCAGAAAAAGGACCGGCUAACUACGUG